UACGUAGGGGGCAAGCGUUGUCCGGAGUUACUGGGCGUAAAGCGUCCGCAGGCGGUUCGACGCGUUUCCGGUGCCAGCCCAUGGCUUAACUGUGGGAGUGCCGGGAAGACGGUCGGACUCGAGGGCCUCAGAGGGACAUAGAAUUCCGGGUGGAGUGGUGAAAUGCGUAGAGAUCCGGAGGAGUACCAAUGGCGCAGGCAGUGUCCUGGGAGGCAACUGACGCUGAGGGACGAAAGCCAGGGGAG
rnacentral:rRNA from 1 species